GAUUUGUUUAGUCAUGGCUACAGAAGUUAUUUAAACUCCAACCGCAUAUAGCGCUAUUGUUAUUUUUUUGUGUUUUCAGAGGUCGUGAGUUAGCGGUGAGUUCUCGUUAUUUUCGUUUUUGCGAUAGCGGGAGAGUUUAUUAAAGGAGGAUAAGACACAGUGCCAGCAUCCGCGGUUAUUCUGUUUCCUUUAGCUUCUUGUACGGUGUAAUAUUUGGUGGUGUGUUAGUUUCGUUUGGCAGUCAAAUGCGAAAAUGGUGCAAUACUAAUCACACCGCGUUGCUUUUAAACCUUUUUUUGGUAAGUUAGAUUUGAUACCUAAUUAACGGGUUUUAUAUAUAAAUCUUAGUUUAAACUAAAAUAAUUUGGCAGCCAACUAUUCCUAACAGGGGAGGGUGUGCUGUAAAAGAUGAUCCGCUCAAUAAUUCACCCGCAUAAAUUAGUUGGUGUACGUCCGGUUGGAUAUUCGUAGCGAGAGUUUAUUACGAGUGUAAACACUUCAAUUUAAGCCAGGUCAAUGUGCUACUAAUAUGUGGGUUGUUAUUCCCUACUUUAAUAUUGAGCCUAUAUGUAAAUAUGCGAGUUUAGGACUUGUAAGUAAACUAAGUUAAUACACUUAUUUGAAAGGGGUUUAGUUGGGGUACACACCGCCCGUCAACCUCGGCGUUUAAGCUGAGGUAAGUCGUAACAAGGUAGCUUUUGGGGAACCAGAAGCUUAUUUCAA
rnacentral:rRNA from 1 species